AAUUGAUGUUUUACAGAUGAAUGAAGAAUUCCAAAGGUGUACUGGUGUUCCACAAGAAUCGGUUUUUAUGUCCCAGCUGGACAAAUACACUCCAAAACUUCUUGACCUGUUUAGUGCGAAGGGUGCAGCGACUAGUGAAAACAUCAAUUGGAGUUAUUGGAACUGAUACAGGAUUCAAGUACCUCUGUGGUGAGGAAGAGAGAUGUGGCUCUGAGAUGCCUCAUUGAAUACAUGGGAGAGAGUGGGCAAAAGCUGAUCUCUGACUACUAUG